UAUCUGAAUGACAUAGGUAUAUAUACUCAAGAUGAAAUUGAGACAGAUGGAAAAAGAUUAGAAAAUGGCCAUGCCUGAAGAAAGAAAAGAUGUUUCCACCUCAGCAACAGCAAUUGGAGUGAGGUGGAAGACAGUGUGCAAACACUCUGGUGAAGGAAUCGGACACGGCGAUCUUUGUCACCUGUUCUUUUCAGAGCAUCUAGCACCAAUCUCUCCUGGAGGCCAUUAUCCAGAUCAGGAUAGGAUUCAUUGAUAGGUUGCCAAACAUCAUCUCAUCAACUCUAUUUAUAUUGACUCCUGUGGCUUGCGAUUUCGGUUGAGUAAUUUUUCCUGCUUAACAUCAGAGUAAAUUUUUACUGUCCCAUCUCUGAAGAGUAUCUGCAAACCAUUAGUAAUGACUGCUUAGCCACAUUCCUGAAUUGAGAUCCACCCACGCCACAGGAGUAGCUCUAGAAUCAGUUUGACAUCCAUGGCAUUGAUUCGCUAAGCUCAAGACUGUAUUUGAGAGCUGUGCCAUGAUGUUAACCUUGUUUGUCUCAUUUUAACUGGCAAUUUGUUGAGAACAAUGGUUAUUCCUUCCAAGAGGUGUAUAUGACACAUUGUCAUACAAAGAUGGUGAGCAGUAAUUUUGCCUGUUCGAGUCCAGUGACUACGAAUCACACAGAAAAUAUUGCUGCAGGCCAUGUAAGUCGUCUUCGCUGAAGGAUCUACAUGGAUCAACAGCUCUGGUGCUAUUUUCUAUUGUGGCACCAUCUUCCAAUGGCCUGCGACUUUCACUCGCCAUCUGUUGGAUAAUACUUUGAUCAUCAAUAUUCCUUUUUGUUGGCUAUAAAAAAUCCCUAAUUUCUGAUCCCUGUUACACUCAAGACUCAGCAGCCAGGGAACCGCUCAGUCAGAGGAUAUGCAGCAAUCUCAUGGGAUACAGGUGUAAAUUUUUAAGAAACAAGACAAACCAUUCACUCACCAUUCACACAAACACAAAUAUAAUUAAUUCAGUCGUCGUCUUUGAAUAAUCCAUGUUACAAGAGCCAUUUAGAAUAAAAUUCAGCAUUACAGCUUUUGUUGAAGAAAAAAAACAUUUUCAAUACUAUAUUUCAAUCUCAACUCACUUCUGAACAGAGCAAUAGUUGGUAAAACAGAAUUGAGCUUGCAUUUGUAGAAGUAAUAUUUUCCCAAUAAUAUGAACAAGUCAAAAACAGAGUCAGUA